rnacentral:rRNA from 1 species
UACGGAGGGUGCAAGCGUUAUCCGGAUUUACUGGGUUUAAAGGGUGCGUAGGCGGGCCCUUAAGUCAGUGGUGAAAGCUCCGGGCUUAACCCGGAAACUGCCAUUGAUACUAUAGGUCUUGAAUUCGGUCGAGGUUGGCGGAAUGUAUCGUGUAGCGGUGAAAUGCUUAGAUAUGACACAGAACACCGAUUGCGAAGGCAGCUAGCUAGACCGACAUUGACGCUGAGGCACGAAAGCGUGGGGAUCAAACAGG